rnacentral:RNase_P_RNA from 1 species
AGUAAUCGCUGCUUGUUUAAGUAGAGGAAAGUCCAGGCUGCCACAAUCUGCGAUGAUUGUAGUGUUUGUGCCUCACGAAUCAAUAAGUGAGGGUAGCGAAAGCUAACGACAGAAUGAAAGCCUAAGGGAAACUAUGGUAGACAUUCAUAAAUGGCUCCACAGAAACAAUGUCAUGGGAAACCAUGAGUGAAAAGAGGAAAGCUCCGCAAGGCAGAAACCCAAAUUUGGUAGGGGAAUCUUCAAGCUGGAAUUGAACGGUAAGAAGGACGCGAAAGCGUAGAUAAAUGAUUACGAAUACAGAACUUGGCUUAUU